GAUGAACGCUGGCGGCGUGCCUAAUACAUGCAAGUCGAGCGAACGGACGAGAAGCUUGCUUCUCUGAUGUUAGCGGCGGACGGGUGAGUAACACGUGGAUAACCUACCUAUAAGACUGGGAUAACUUCAGGAAACCGGAGCUAAUACCGGAUAAUAUUUUGAACCGCAUGGUUCAAAAGUGAAAGACGGUCUUGCUGUCACUUAUAGAUGGAUCCGCGCUGCAUUAGCUAGUUGGUAAGGUAACGGCUUACCAAGGCAACGAUGCAUAGCCGACCUGAGAGGGUGGUCGGCCACCCUGGAACUGAGACACGGUCCAGACUCCUACGGGAGGCCGCAGUAGGGAAUCUUCCGCAAUGGGCGAAAGCCUGACGGAGCAACGCCGCGUGAGUGAUGAAGGUCUUCGGAUCGUAAAACUCUGUUAUUAGGGAAGAACAUAUGUGUAAGUAACUGUGCACAUCUUGACGGUACCUAAUCAGAAAGCCACGGCUAACUACGUG
rnacentral:rRNA from 1 species